rnacentral:rRNA from 1 species
CCUACGGGAGGCAGCAGUGAGGAAUAUUGGUCAAUGGCCGGAAGGCUGAACCAGCCAAGCCGCGUGAGGGAGGAAGGCGCAGAGCGUCGCAGACCUCUUUUGCCGGGGGACAAAAGGCCGGACUCGUCCGGUCCUGAGGGUACCCGGAGAAAAAGCAUCGGCUAACUCCGUGCCAGCAGCCGCGGUAAUACGGAGGAUCCGAGCGUUAUCCGGAUUUAUUGGGUUUAAAGGGAGCGUAGAUGGGUUGUUAAGUCAGUUGUGAAAGUUUGCGGCUCAACCGUAAAAUUGCAAUUGAUACUGGCAGC